UGUGGAUAGGAAAUUAGAAAGGAUGAGAAAAAAUCAAAACUUUAGGGCAUUAACACUCUCAAUUUGGUAGUUCAUGGUGGUUGAGGUAUUGAUGUCAAUGGUAAAGUUGUAAAUACUUGGUGAAGAUGAGGAUGGUAAGCUAAAAGCCUUAUUUUCAAAAAAAAAUAAAAUAAUAAUGGCAUUUUCGUGAAUAACUAGAACUUCUAGGGUGAAUACGACAAAACAAAGUUUCAAAAAAGCAUCUCUAUCUGUCCGGGUUUGAUCUAUAAGAAAGAAAAUAUAGCCUCUAGUCCUUGCAUCUUUUGCUAACGCGUCUGACCGGCCAUUCCGACUCUAAGAAAUAUGAGACAGUCUCACAUCCUCGAAGUCAUCAUGUAACCUCUGGAACUCCACGAUCUCUGUCACGAAUUCUGGCCAGUCCAUCAGGUCUGUAGUCAUGUCCACUAAGUCCGAGCAGUCCAUCUUGAACCGUACCGAAGUGAUCCUUCUGCCUCUCAUACAUGAGGCUGCCCAAAAUAAUCCUUCCAU
rnacentral:lncRNA from 1 species